UACGUAGGGGGCUAGCGUUGUCCGGAUUUAUUGGGCGUAAAGAGUGCGUAGGCGGUUUUCUAAGUUUGGUGUGAAAUCUCCCGGCUUAACUGGGAGGGUGCGCCGAAGACUGGAAGGCUUGAGUAUGGGAGAGGUAAGCGGAAUUCCUGGUGUAGCGGUGAAAUGCGUAGAUAUCAGGAGGAACACCUGCGGUGUAGACGGCUUACUGGACCAUCACUGACGCUGAGGCACGAAAGCGUGGGUAGCAAACAGG
rnacentral:rRNA from 1 species